rnacentral:rRNA from 1 species
GAUAAACGCUGGCGGCGCACAUAAGACAUGCAAGUCGAACGAACUUAAUCGAUUCUUUUAGAUUCGAAGCGGUUAGUGGCGGACUGGUGAGUAACACGUAAGCAACCUACCUGUUAGAGGGGAAUAACAGUGAGAAAUCACUGCUAAAACCGCAUAUGCCGUGAACAUCGCAUGAUGAAAACGGGAAAAGAGCAAUCUGCUAAUAGAUGGGCUUGCGUCUGAUUAGCUAGUUGGUGUGGUAAAGGCAUACCAAGGCAACGAUCAGUAGCCGGACUGAGAGGUUGAACGGCCACAUUGGGACUGAGAUACGGCCCAGACUCCUACGGGAGGCAGCAGUCGGGAAUAUUGCGCAAUGGAGGAAACUCUGACGCAGUGACGCCGCGUAUGGGAAGAAGGUUUUCGAAUUGUAAACCAUUUUAGACAAGGAAGAAACAAGACAGUACUUGUAGAAUAAGCUCCGGCUAACUACGUGCCAGCAGCCGCGGCAAUACGUAGGGAGCAAGCGUUAUCCGGAUUUAUUGGGUGUAAAGGGUGCGUAGACGGGAAGGUAAGUUAGUUGUGAAAUCCCUCGGCUCAACUGAGGAACUGCGACUAAAACUGCUUUUCUUGAGUGCUGGAGAGGAAAGUGGAAUUCCUAGUGUAGCGGUGAAAUGCGUAGAUAUUAGGAGGAACACCAGUGGCGAAGGCGACUUUCUGGACAGCAACUGACGUUGAGGCACGAAAGUGUGGGGAGCAAACAAGAUUCCUACCCUGGUAGUCCACACCGUAAACGA